GUAAUGUCUGGGAAACUGCCUGAUGGAGGGGGAUAACUACUGGAAACGGUAGCUAAUACCGCAUGACCUCGCAAGAGCAAAGUGGGGAACCUUCGAGCCUCACGCCAUCGGAUGUGCCCAGAUGGGAUUAGCUAGUAGGUGAGGUAAUGGCUCACCUAGGCGACGAUCCCUAGCUGGUCUGAGAGGAUGACCAGCCACACUGGAACUGAGACACGGUCCAGACUCCUACGGGAGGCAGCAGUGGGGAAUAUUGCACAAUGGGCGCAAGCCUGAUGCAGCCAUGCCGCGUGUGUGAAGAAGGCCUUAGGGUUGUAAAGCACUUUCAGCGAGGAGGAAGGGUUCAGUGUUAAUAGCACUGUGCAUUGACGUUACUCGCAGAAGAAGCACCGGCUAACUCCGUGCCAGCAGCCGCGGUAAUACGGA
rnacentral:rRNA from 1 species